rnacentral:misc_RNA from 1 species
AUCGAUCUCUUUAGCUAGUUUAACAGAGGAAUAUACAGCGUGGUCGUUGCUGUUAACCGGAUACGUCAUAAGACUUUACACACUUUUCUAUUGUGACUUGGCGGCGAAUGAAUGGUAAAAAAGAUUUGAUUCAACGUUCGUUAUUUUGUUAUGUUAGACAAUAAGGAAAAACUUGGAUCACAACCCGAAAAUGUUGGCUUGAAAGAGGAAGCUGAUGGGAUUAAUUAUAGGAUUUUACCGGGCUCUGUCGCCAAGAAAAAUGGUAGCGAGGAAGACAUGGCCCGUAUUCAAUGGGAUAAACCGGCCGAAUUUCUACUUACCUGCGUCGGGUACAGCGUUGGGUUAGGGAAUGUAUGGAGAUUUCCCUAUUUAUGUUAUAUAUCUGGCGGAGGUUUGUUGAAAUUUUUCAACUUUUUAUUUUCUAUUAGAGAAGGAACAAAAUUCCACUAUUGAUUUAUUUACAUAUAUAAGUCGACUAUCUUUGCGUAAAACCUUCAUGCAAAGAAAAGGCUUAAACUCUCUCAUACUAAACUUCAUUCAUUCGAUAUAAAAAAAAACUACCAUACUAUAUUCGUAAAACCGCCAGUAAAUUCCCUCUUUUUCUUUCUUCUUCCUUCUCCUUCCCCUUCUUCUUCAUCUCUCUCUCUCUCUCUCUGUCUCGCUCUCUGUAUCUUUCUAUUCUUCGUUUAUCCCACUAACUAGUCUUCACGACAGCUACGACAGCAAUAACCUAUAAUCUCUCUCAUUUAUGAUUCAUUCAUUCAUUCAUUCAUUCAUUCAUUCAUUCGUUCAUUCAUCCCAAAAACUAGAUCUUUAUAAUUCUAUUAGAGUAUUGUUUUCUAGCAUUUUAAAUAUAGUAUUAGUACUUGUAUGUAUUAUUAGAUAUUUUGCAUUUGAAUAUAUGCAAAUAUAUGGUAUAUAUAUAGUGAAUAGCCCAUUUUUGCUGAGAUGUAUACAUAGUCUACAUCUAUUUAAGUGCUACACGUGUACAUAAUGCGUGUGCGUAUUAUACAAAGCGUUCACCACUCAUAUCUGCGAAUAUGUAUUUAGGCCAAUAGCUUGUUGAACACAUAAACAUAUGUAUUUUUCUAUACAUGUGUGUAUAGAAAUUUAUUAGCAAAAACUUUGUUUAUAUACUUCGCUCUAUAGUCUCGAUGAUGUCGUUGAUAUUUUUAGAAUUUCUUCUUUCCUUUCUCUUCUCUUAGAGAAUAUAUCUAAAAAUACACUAUUCCUCAUACUCUCUGUCGAUCGUGCAGCACACGCUGCUUAUAUGCUUUGUACAGUAUAUUUUCACUCCUUUUCUCUCUCUCUCUCUCUCUCUAUUUUCUCUCCUUAAAUAUUUUGUCGACAAACGACUAAACUGUCUAUCGAUUCGCUCACUUCUUACUUUUACCACGUAGGCCAAUAAUAGUGUAAUAUGCGCGUUUUAUCAAUGUUUGCCAGCUAUUUUCAUCUAUUACGUAGUAUGUUGCUUUUUUUAAUGUUUUUUAUCCAUUUCCUAGAAUAGUUUGUCUUCUACGAAUAGUACGAAUUGUUUUUGGUAUUCCACUUACCCCCCUUCCCCAUUGACUGCUCCUCCUACUCCUCUCCCCCCCCCUCCAUCCCCUCGCCAUCCUUCAUCCUUCUCAAUGAUUCUCGUUUCAGGUGCAUUUCUUAUUCCGUACACGGUUAUGAUUAUUGUUAUUGGAUGCCCCAUGCUAUUUAUGGAAUAUGGAUUUGGCCAAUUCUUUGGAAAAGGAGCUUUAACGAUAUUCAAGAAAGCCUGCCCUCUAUUUGAAGGUCAGCACCUUUUGUCCUCUAAAACUAAAAAACAAAAAAAAAACAUAAAAAACGUAAAGCACAAAUCUAUACAUCUUCUUAUUCUUUUGCCUAAAAUAAAUGUUACUCUUCAAAAGGUAUUGGGUUUUGUUAUAUGAUAAUCAAUGGGUUUGUAUGCAUAUAUUACAAUGUGAUUAUCGCCCUCUCAAUCUACUAUCUCGUCAACUCUUUCCGACCCGAGUUGCCUUGGGGAUCCUGCGGUAAUCAUUGGAACACAGAGUUUUGCAUAGCAUUAGCUAAUUCUACUAAUUCGAGUGCUAUAAUGAAUUCAACAAAUGUUAGAUUUCCUCACUUUUCUACCAUUAUUUAUCACUUUUGUCGCCAUUUCUUCUUUCUCUUCUUCUUCUUCUUCUUCUUCUUCUUCUUCUUCUUCUUUUGAGUAAUUUAAAGAAUUGUCUGGGAAGAGAGCUAAAAUUUUAAUAUAAAAAAAAACUUAUAAAAACUGUAAAAAGUGAUGAAAUCUAACAAUUUCGUUUACUUCGUAACAAAGACAAACAAAACAAGCCCGUCCGAAGAAUUUUGGGAGCACUCUCUUUUAAAUAUUGAUGAGAAUCAUUCAAUUGAAAAUCUUGGAUCAAUUCGACCAUUUCUGUGCCUUUCGUUACUCGCCUCUUGGAUUCUUGUUGUCCUCUUCGUUUCGAAAGGGAUUCGAUCAACCGGAAAAGUCGCCUACGUAACCGCCACAUUUCCUUACUUGAUGUUAACCGUAUUGGUAACUAGAGGAGUGACUUUAUCGGGAGCAACAGAUGGCAUUAUGUAUUUUUUAACACCGCAAUGGAGUAAACUAGCCGAGCCUUCCAUUUGGUUCAAAGCAGCUUCUCAACUCUUCUAUAGUACGAAUAUUGGAUGGGGAGGAAUGAUUACCAUGGCUUCUUACAACAAGAAGAAGCAUAAUUGCCGUAGAGAUGCUAUAUUUAUCAAUUUUAUAUCGUUCUUCACCUCCCUCUACGCCGGUUUGGCCGUCUUUUCCAUAAUUGGCUUUAUGGCGGAGGAGAGCGAUUCAAAAGUGGAGGAGGUUAUCAAGAAUGGGCCCGAAUUGGCGUUUAUAGUCUACCCGAGGGCUUUGUCACUUAUGCCGAUACCUCAAUUGUGGAGUGUUCUAUUCUUUAUUAUGCUGUUUACGCUUGGUAUAGGAAGUUUAAUGGUGAAUUUGGAGACGGUUAUGACUGGUCUGAGCGACGAACUUCGUAUCGUUCGAAAAUAUAGAUUUACAGCCACCUGUAUAGUCGCAGUGUGUAUGUUUCUUCUGGCCCUACCUCAAGUCACCCAAGGAGGUAUGUACGUCUUUAGCUUGUUCGAUCACUACGCGGCAAGUUUUUCUCUCCUCUUCACUACGGUCGCUGAAUGUGUUGCCAUCAAUUGGAUCUACGGAAGUAAUCGUUUUUGCAAGGAUGUCAGUACCAUGUUGGGAAAGGAAAUUUCGGUUGUUUGGAGAGUUUUCUGGGGAGGAAUUUCUCCUGUCGUCAUCAUAGCUAUAAUUAUAUUCAAUUUAGCGACAUCCCAAGGAGCGGAAUACGGAGAUUAUACCUAUCCAGUAUGGGGAGAUUGUAUAGGAUGGUUUAUCACUCUCUCUUCUAUACUUCCAAUUCCUAUUGUCGCCGCUAUAAAGCUAAUAAAAAGUCCUGGUAAAACAUUUCUCGAAAAAUAUCGCGAUACAACAAGCGUUCCAUCCCAACCAAAAGAAACUGAACCAGAAGCUGUUGAAUUAUACAUCAUGAGAGACAACUAAUAUGAUAGAAUAGCAAAAGAUGAUAAUCAACAAGUUCAUCUCUUAAACGAGAGAAAAUCAUUAUGAUUGAUCAUGAUUUUUUUUUUUUUUUUUUUUUUUUUUU